CUCUUGCACUCAUUUGAAUUCUGCAUCUCAUAGUCCAAGAAUCGGGAAAAAUAUGUUUGAGUAUGAUGUUGGAGCUAUGGUUAAAAACACAAAUAUGUUCAAAAUGUUUCAAAAAUGAAUUUCAGAGAUCAAGAUCCACGUAAGUAAAUCUUUUUCAUUUGUCCUACAGAGGAAUAAAUUAGAGCUGUGUGUUGAAAGCUAAUGAUGAGGUGUACUAAAUGCUGCCCCAGGAAACAAGUAUUUGUGUAGGCUUCGUGGGGGGUGGGUUGGUAGACGACAUUACCUACGACGUCCUUUUCACCCUGAAGCCCAGUAAUUCUGUGAUUAGUUCUUCCAAGCAUAUGAUCAUAUUUGGGUUCAAGCAAGUUGAUCAAAUUUACAAACCCUACAGUUAACAUUCAAUGACCAAUCACUUUAUUUUAGGUUUACUGAUGGAUUGGGUGUGGGAAGUGAAGGAGAAAACAAUCAGGGACAAUGUUUAGUUUUCUCAUUAACAUCAACAAAGACUCCAUGAGCUAGGAAGUUAUUCAACUUCCCACUCUCAACCUAUAAACUCAUCCAGAUCCA
rnacentral:lncRNA from 10 species